GUUAUAAUAUAUGAAUUAAAUAUUUUUAUAAUCUAGUGAUUUAUAAUGAAGUCGAAAUUCCCGAAGUUCUAAAGUUAACCUAGAAGUCUCGAACACAAGUACCAUUACGAAAGCGUUGGAAAUUGAUGUAGCAUCGUAUUAUAUCUUCUUUACUGAUCAAUUAAACAAAACUGAUCUGCUAGAGAAGACAAUCGACAGGUCGUCGUGUAAAUGUAAUUAUAUACUUGAAAAAACGGCUUAAACAAUUGGUAAUCUUUUGCCUCUUAAUAGAUUCUUAUAUUACGAACUAAUCUCUCUGCAAGUAGGAGCUAUGGAUCGAUACAACCAAAUUUUACUUGCGAGCCAUUUGCCAACGAAGUGAAUGUCUACUGAUCGCUUCAAAAAAAAA